GCCCCGGUAGCUCAGUCGGUAGAGCACCUGAUUGUGGUGAGCGAAGCGCCUAACUUCCAGGAGGUCGCAGGAUCGAAGCCUGCCCGGUGGCC
rnacentral:tRNA from 1 species